GCAGGACGAAGAUGACGAUGAGGAUGCCCACAAUGGCCCCAGUGCUCAGGCCUGAGGUUGGACUGCCAUUGGCUUGAGGGGAAGAGACACAAUUGGUGGUUAACAGACUAAGAUGUGAGACCCUAGACCCAUGUGGAGGCAUCAAGGUCUCUGCCUACCUUCCAGAGAGAGACGACAGCUUCAUCUCAUACACCUGGGGAUGGGGGCUGCAACUCUCAGACUCCCUCCCCGUUGGCCUCCCGGGAGACGAAUGAAACCCACAUGACCCUGGAGACAUAGAGGCCUCCCCAGGCCCAGUGGACAAGAUAAGAGGUCUGGGAAUACUCACCAUCUGAGAGCCCGGGCAUGCCUGGGUCAGGCUUCAGGAGGACCAGCAGACACACCCAGAGACGCAUACCCACCAGGCAGGCACGUUCACAGCAGGACACGCCCACACGGACAGACACACGCUUUUGCAUUCAGCAUCUCCAAGCACCUUGGUUCUGGCUGGGCUCACUCUGUAGGACUCAGAGUGUCUUUCUCUCUGGGGGCCUAUCUACAAUCCCACAAGGACAUGGGUUGUUGAUGGUGUCACAGAAAGACCCUGGCUCAGUUCCCCGGGGCCCAGGAGCUCACUGCAUGCUCACGAUCUACAUUAGUUGCCCGGUCUCAAUCUGUCAACUCCCUAGUGGUUCCCACCAGUGUGUGGAGGAGGAGUGGUCACAAUACUGGAAGCUCUACAUGGAGCUCUGUCUAUAGGUCAGUGUGGGAACAAUGACACUGGACUGAAAUACAGGCACUACCAAUGGUGGGCAGGGACCUGAUUUUAGGACUGGCAGCCCUGCCUCCCCACCAGACCUUGUCUGAAGCCUGCUGUGCUCUCAAGGCCCACUAAGGUCACCCGGAUCUGUGGUUCAGCCCCAGCUCAUCUCACUAGACUUUACUGAGUGCCCCAUCAGAUAAUGGAAUAAAUGUGUAACCCAGGACAACCAGGACCAUAGGUGGGUCACACAUUCUUCGUUUUUCACGUAGCCUGUUUGGGGUGGUGGUGGGGUGACCCCUCUGUUUGCCCCAGGGAUCUCUGCCAAGGCACUAUCGUCCCAUUCCACUGGCCCUUAUUUCAAACUUGAGUUCGGGAUAUGGGUUACCGACCCAGCACACCAGAAAUCCCCCACCUAUUCCUUAGCACACUAGGCACAGCCGGGCCUGAGCAGGAGACUCCCCAGCUCAUGUGUACUUUGGGCCCUUUGGGACUCUGGCCUUCUCCCCAGCCUUCCCUCCUCAGGUGCUCUGGAUGGUCCCUUCCAACCCUGCACUGAAGACCCUCAUCCAUUCCCCAUAAUGGCCUGAGACUGGCAGCCCAGAGAGGGCUGUGUGCCCAGAUGACAGAGGGCACAGAUGACUGAUGUCUGGGUUGUGGCCUCUGGAUCUCACUGUCAGCUAAAAUGGUUCAUCUUGUUAGCAGCCCUAACACAGAGGCACUUCUGGUGGGUCUCAUGAGCACAAAACCAUCCUUGCACUUGUCCACGGUCCUCACACAUUCCACCCGCAAGGAAAACAAAGAGACGCAGGCCUUCCUGAUCUGCUUCCCUGAAGAGGGAGGAGACUUUGGCCUUCGGUUUUCUCUCCAUUUCAUGACAGUGGGCUUGAGGACACUGAGGCCUCCUGACGCCAGCACCGACAGGUGUGAAGCACCCACUUCCUGAAGGAGGGGCAGAAAGCAUUUCUCCUUUUUUUUUGGUGGUGGGAUAUGUCUGUAUUUUUGGACUCAAUGGCAUUAAUCUUACAUUCUGAGGUUUAUGUGUAAAGAGGGUUUUGUGGAACUAAUUAUACAUCUAAAGAGGAACAAUAAACAACUGCAAAGCCUCUCUGUGUCCAGGAGGGGACAGCAGGUAGAGCAUCUUCUGCCUUGGGCUCAUCAGCUCCAGCGGAGGGCCGCACAGGUUCUGAGCACACUCAUGGAGGCCCAGGAGGGCAAGAAAGAUCUGAAAUCCAGCAAGCACCGGAGGUAGCGCAGUUCCAUCUCCUGUCUCCUGACCUCAGGGGCCCUACAUGUGCUGUGGACUCUGCCCACUCCUCUGACUGGCGCAACUCACGGCACCAACCAAACUGCCUUCCUUCUGCCUGUGGAAUACACAGCCAUUCUGCCCCAGGGCCUCGCCCUGAUUCUCUGCAGGAAAACACUCCCUCCUGAGUGCUCCCUGGGUGGCUCUUUGUCAUCUGUAGGCCUCAGUCCUGACGUCACCUUGUCACUGUGGCCUCCCCAAUCUCUUAUCUAGUGAGCUGCCUCUCUGCAGUGCCUGCCUCGUUACCAUGUUCAUCCUUCUCACCGUUAUCUGCCACUUUACAUUCACUUACAUGCUCAUGAUCUGGCCUCCAGAACAUCCUGGCUGGUACCCUGCGUCUCUUAACAUCUCUCCAGCACCAAGGACAACCCUGACUCACAGAAAAAUAUCCAAAGAAUCUCUGUCACACAAAUAGAUGAGUGUAUAGCUUAGAGAUGAGAACACUGGCGCCUGUGGCUCAAAGGAGUAGGGCACCAAACCCAUAUGCCAGAGGUGGUGGGUUCAAACUCAGCCCCAGCCAAAACAAACAAACAAACAAAAAAACAACUGAAAAUAAAUAAAUAAAUAAAUAAAAAAAUACAGUGACCACCUAAAGGACUGUAGUCAACAUGUGGAGGUGGUCAACAGAAGGAGCUAGGCCUACUGUACUGAUACAUACAUGUGGGUGCAUAUCCGGUCUAUGAAAAUUAGGUCAACUUAAGGAGAUGGUCGGUAUAGACAGGUGGUCAACUCUGGAGGUUCUACUGUAUUUAAAAGUGUGUCCUGAGAAGGAAGCAGGAGUCUUAGUCUGUACAGCACCAGCAUGGAGAAAUUACAGGGCUGGGACAGGUUUUAGUGCCCUGUGAGAAAGGACUAACAGAGCUAUUCAAACAUAAUGUGGGCUGCCCGGUUGGUAGGUGGACUCCCUGUUGCUGGCAACCUUGGCACAGAGGCUGGACACUCCCUUAGCAGGGAUGCUGUAAUUCUCUGAUGAGGUCCCUACACUCAGUAGGAGCUUGCGUAGAAGAUAGCUUCAAGUCCCGUUCAACCACAAGAGCCUGACCUUCCACGGUACCUGACACAGGGUACAGAUUCCCUAAUGCCAUUUUUCUCCACAGUGUGGACUGAGGACCAUUUCCUGGAACACGAAGAUGCUUAAUGGGUCCCAUCUUUAGUCAUUAAUCCUUGUGAUUUUAUUUUCACGUGAAAAAUAAGCAUCUUUUAACUCAGUGCAUCUUCAUCUGCACUGGAAUUCCUGAGGUGUUUCGUGAAACAUUGAGAACCAGGCGCUCCCAGUUCUAUGGAAUUUGAAUCUCUGAGGUUGAGGUUCAGGAGUCAGGAUUUGAACAAGCACCCCAGAUAUUUGUAUGAGGACUGCUGUUCCCAGGUCUUCCCUCCCUUGCAUUACAAGGAGAAAUGGCUGACACUAUAACCUCACUGCCCAAGGAUAAGGUGUGCCAUCUGGCCCAGUAACCAUGACAAAAAGAACUUGACCUAAUGUAUUGGAUGGAAGGCGAGAAAGCAGAGACCAUCCCCCCUAAGGAAAAGGGGCCACAACGUCCUCCACUACUAACAGCUAGAUGCCCGAAGCAAGUGAGGUCUCCUCAAGCUCAAGGGAGAAUGCUUAUAUAUGUUUAUACAAAAUGAGGCUGGAAAGAAGGAACAGGUUGGGGCCAGACAAAAGGGCUUUAAAAGCAAGCCCUAUUGGUGGAUGCUAUAGAAUUACUUAGUCCAGGAAAGCUAGAAGGAUGAGAGCUAUUUCCUGCGUCUAACGUAACAUUUUACCAAAGAAAAAUUAAAAAACAGAAAACAUCUGGGGGUCCUUUCUGUGCCACGAUCUUUCCCCAACCACCCUUGACUAACUCACCCGUGCACCUUGCAUGCAAAGAAGGCUUCCUGGGAGCAGCUCCUCCAUAACCUCCGAGGCCAGAGCUUCCCUGAACAUUGAGAUUAUGAAGCUGGGGUUGUCCAUCUUCUGUGGUUCCUGGCUUGGGAAGGGAUGCCCCCAAAGAGGAAACCAGCUUGCUCCAAGAAUGAGACCCACAUAUGCCCACUUUCUCUUGUACCAUACAUUGGGAACAUGUGUCUGGCAUUUGACAGACGGCUGGAUGGGCCUCAGUCCUUGGGUCACAAGACCUAGGUAGAGCAGACAUACUCUCCCCACCCCAACUCUCCACUAGGACUGUCAACUCUCAGAGCUGGGGUUUUGGUUCAACUCAUAACCCCCCUGACACAUCUGCUUGCUCCUUCCUGGAAUCAGCUAGACAGACGGCUGGUCUCAGGGGCUUGCAAAAAGUAUGUGAGUAAGAGUGAUCACAGACAGAAUAGGGUUUGCCGAAGAGAAUGUUCUCUCCAUUCCAAGCUCACUGUGUGCAGCCUCACUUAGGGAGAGUCAAGUUGCUGUGCAAUCGAGUGACCCUGCCACAGAGCCAUGUGGCUCCACCCCCAUCGUGACCACCUCCCCACUUCUGCAAAGGCACCUUCCCCUCCCGCUGCCUGCUGGGGACUCCCAGGUGGUGAUGACCCACAAAAGCUCUUCGCUGACAAGAACACACUGCUCCUCAUUAGGAAGAAAAAACAUUUCCUUUGGUAAGAACUCGAUUUGUCAGGCUGUGAAUUUAAGGUAAUAAGUUAUCCAGGUACUUGUGAGGUGGUUUUUGAUACUUCAUGGGUCACAACUAUCAAAUAAAAUCCAACACGCUAGUGAGUUCACAUGAAUUGUUAUUUCCUUUAAUAAUGCAAAGAUGUAAACUCCGUAAAGGCCUCGCUGAUUACCUAUACAACAGUGUUAGCGUUCUUAUUAGUAGAAAGACGUGAUCCAAACCUGCUGUAUAAAUAUUUCAAAAAUGAGCAGAGGAGCCCCGAGGCAUGUGGCGGGCGUGGGCAGCACUAAUACAGGGCUCAGGGUGAGGCGGGACGGCUGGGCAAGGUGGGCACUCUCACUCCUGCAGCCUUCGCUGGGCACGCAGGCUCCCGGGCCGUGGGGGUGCACUAAUGCUGCCUCCAGGGGGACACACUUCCCUCCAGAGGAGAGAUGGGUCUGUGGGACUGUCCAAAUGUGCCCAUUCAGGUGGCCCCAAAGUGUUUCAGCUGAGGCCUGCUUAGCCUUGGGACAUGCUGAGGGGACAAGGCCAUAUCAGUCCUCUCAAACUCGAGACCAGAUCUCCAAAAUGUCCCUUCAGAAACACUGACACUGUCCCUCUCGUGUGGGUGGGCCUGGGAUGAGGGGAGACAGACUUGUGAGCUGAGCCCUCCUAGGGUGAACCCAUGUGGCUUUUGCCCAAGGCUACUACAGGUGGAGAGGCCUCUCUUCGCCCUCCUCACAGCUCGCCCUGACCGACCUUUGAUCGCUAUGCCCAACCGGGAGGCCCCAUGUCCCCAACCCUGUUUUGCCCUGUGCCUCAGAGCCACGCCUGCCCCGCCGCUCUGGUGUGGGGUGAGCGCAGUGAUGCUGGAGGAGAGUCUGUGGCGGGGUGAGAGGCACUGGCCUGCCUGAACCACUGGGCAGUGUGAAGCCCCUGGUGUCUGCACGGGACCUCUAACUGAGCGCUGGGGACACUGGUGGGCACCAACACAGUGGCUUCGCCCCUCAGACCACUGCAGGGGGUCAUGCAGAUUCCCAAAGGGGGAAUGUUAAAUCUUUAAACAAUAAAAAAAAAAAAAAAAAGUGGAAAAAAAUACAUGAAGAAACCAAAAAGAACAAAAUUAAACCUGUGGAGACGCUCAGAGAUGAGAUGGGUAGAAUGAUAUGUGACCACAAUGGAGGGAGGGGGUCUUUAUUCAGCGGAAGGCCCAUCCCCAAGCACACACACGGAUGUUACGGAGCAGGACUCGGCCCUGGGUCUGCAUGUGGGCCCUUAAACAAACACACCCACUUCCUCUCCUGGGUGAGCUUCCUAGCAGCAGAGAGGAGAAGUUGGCUUUUCACGAGAAUUUUUAAAAUGUCACUGAAUUACAGUGACCGGUAGGAGGGCCAAGCAUUUAGAACGUCCUGUUUGGUUGACUCAGUCCUAAUUUAUUGAGUCUCCUGGACUGGGCAGCCUGAGAAUGACCUGCCCCUCUCCUUCCACUGUGCCACCCACAUCCAGGGAAGGUAGGGGACUUGUGCAGCUUCCAACCCGCCCCGUGGAUUGAUGCUCACAGUGAUUACCUGGGUUGGACCACGACCCCCAAGACCCAGAGGCUCUGUGCUGAUCUGUGACAAGCUCCCUGAAGCAGGGAAUCACCCCAACUGGGAGACACACACCUUUCAAAGCUGGCGUGAAUUGGCACUUCACAGCUUGGCCGUGUCCACAGAGACAGCAGAAGGUGCUGGUCAUGAUACCAGGACCAAAGUGUCUCCCUGAACAUGCAUCAGUCCCGGGAAAUAUCCAACAAAUUCAACUUUUUUCCAAUGCGUGGGUAGCAGUGUGACUUAAUUUGCCUAUCAUGUCAGCCAGACACUCAGGUGAACCAUUGUGGUCUGGCUCUCUUAACAGGGGGCACUUAAAUGUUCAAAUGCAAGCAAAGCCAUCUACUUAUUGAAAGGUGGAGGAGGAGCACAGAGUUAGAAUGGGGGGGGCACAUGGCGAUUUUAAUAAUCUGAUGCA